GGGGUUGUGGCUCAGUGUUAGAGUGCUUGUCUAGUAUGCAUGGGGCACUGGGUUCGAUCCUCAGCACCACA
rnacentral:tRNA from 1 species